rnacentral:lncRNA from 1 species
ACGGUCCAGCAACCCAAAGUUGACUGGGAGACGACGGCCUAGAUCUCUCACGAACUCAUCGCAGCAUCCUCCUUGCGCCUCAUCCUGCGGUACCUGUUCUUGACCUGUGGGGGGGUGUGAGACAGCAAGAGUGAGCUCACAUACGUUCAUCGCUCAACAAGUUGUGGGGAAUAAUGUGCAUGAACUCGCCAAAGGUGGGAGCUCACGUGAAGUGUAAGGCUUACCAAAGAGGAUGGUUAGAGCUGAGCAUUGCUUUUAAAGUUGGUCAAAAUUUUAUUAGCAAUUACUAAGUAUAAGUAAAUACCAACCCAAUUAAAUAGUAGAACAAAAGUAACAACAUCACCUGCGAUGCAAUGCAUAUGACAAAUUGAAUUUAGUUCCAUAAAUUAAUCAUCAGAGAGUCCUGAGCUGCUCAUGACCGUGAGCUCGGCUAGUAUACCAGUUUUACACUCUGCAGAGGUGGUACCCUUUACCCACAAGUCAUGUUACCCAUCUGCCAAGGGAUCGCGACUUCCCAUACACCUCUACCGAGGAGGCGAGGCAGGGUAACACUACGAGGCCUUUACAAAGUUCCACUAGCUUCAGAAAACCCGCUACAGUUUAUAGGAAGCUCCAAUGCAGGGUUCUUGCCUGACCGCCAUCGCAGCAAAAUCAACCAAGGACCUCCCUACACUGACCACUCCCCUACUGCCCUUGCCCCUUUCGGGUAAGGUAGUCCUCCACUAGCUUUCCUAAUUAAUCAGCCAAGGGCGUCCAUAAACCCUUGUGGUGGCACGUGUUUCUCAAGUUAAGCUCUAUGUUCCAAUUAACAUUAAUGAUCUUGACAUGAACAGUAAAUAACAACGGAUAACAAAAGUAUAAUCAUGAAUAAUGUGUAUCUCAAUGCCCAAAACCACAUAUAGCACUAGCAAGUACUACCCAAAAAGUUCAGUGGUAAACAAGGCAUAAAGAUAGACAAACUAGGGUAACCUAUUAGGUCCCAUCAAAACUAACCUAUACAGAUCAUUAUGAUUAAUUAGAACAUGAGUGGGUAAAAGAAGUGAUCAAGGGCACAACUUGCCUGGCACUUGAGAUUCCAGGUACCAACUUGCUCUUCAAAUUCUUGUGACCUCACCGCUAUUCGUAGCAAUACAUACAAAUAGGCAAGAAUCAUAUAAAAAUAACAGUAUACCAAACAUGAGAACAAACAGCGUAAGAAUAUUCUAUGCGAUGCUACAAGAUCGUGGGAUCGAGAACCACUAAAAUCGGAGUCAUGGUUAAGGAGUUAUGAUCUAUAAAAGCUCUACGUGACCUAAAUAUUAAACUAUAGUAUAGAUCAUAUGAGAGAUUAUUCUAUAAAUAAUUAUCUCAACUUUAAUCUAAGUCAUUAUUUGAUUAAAGAUUAUCUAGUUAAAUUAUAACCAUAAAGUUAGAAUACUAUAUUAAUAUUAAAGAAAUUAAUCCAAUAAACAUAGAUUAACCCAAUUAUAAAAGUAUGGGAUAUCAUACAAUAAGUGUUUCUAUUGUGUAGUAGAUAUUUAUACAAAACUAACACAACUUGAACGGAUCAAUUCGGAGUUAAAACGAGGAAGUUAUGAAUUUCUGAAGAUUUUAUGUGUUCGGUAUAAGAUUAAAUAUGAUAUUAAUUUUAAUGUAACUUUAAUGUCAAAACAGAGAUAGUAUGUGAUACACAAUAAUAUUAUAGAAUUAUAGAAAUUGGAAUGGGUCAAUUUGAAGUUCAUAUGAAUUUUAUAUGAAUUAAACAAACUCUAGCCAUUAAAAAAUAGAUUUCUAAUUCCUUUUCCUGGAUUUCCUAUUCACUGGACUGGGCGCAUGAGUACAUAAAAAUCCAGGGGCUAAACCAUAAAUAUUUCCCAGACUCAGAGUACUACACAAUGGAUCGCGGGUUGAUUCCCAAAUUCUUCGAGGUCUCUUAUGCAAAACUACGUAGCCGAAGGGGUAUCGUUGCUUUUCGGUCGUCCGAUCAGAAACGAACAGCCUAGAUUUGCUCUGAUAAAAAAAUCCGAACCGGUACGUAAUCUUAACCGUUGGAUCAUAGAUCUAUGGAUCAAAACCCCACACGCCCACAUCUAAUCCCAACCGCUUACUAGAGGAUCGACGGUCCGGAUCGGAUCUCCGAGCCGCCAUCUACCGCAUCUAUCUUUGGCCCACGAUCGAGAUCCCACGGUCAAGAUCGCCCCCACCCUUCGUCAUGGAUCCGAUGGCUCACGAGCUUCUUCUCCACGCAAAUACCAGGUCUGGCAGCACCGUUCCCCCCCUACGGCGGACGCCAUAGCCAGACCACCCAUUCACCGCUCCCGGGCACGAAAUUCUAAUCUGAGGUACGCUACGCGCAGAUAAGAUGUAGGAGAAUAGGAUGAAGGCUCCAUACCGGGGUUCGCAGGCAACGGAGGAGGCGGUCCACGACAGCGUGCGGAUCCAGGCCGAGCACCACACCGGUGAGGAAUCGCCAAGCGUCGGAGACCCCAUCUCACCCCAGUUGACCACGAUCAUCUUCGCGGGAACCAGACGGGGCUCCCAGACCCGUUCCCGGAUCCGAACGGUGGCACACCACGGCCCCACCCGUGGCGGCAGUGUUUUUAUCUUAUGCGGCUCC